UUUGCGCUAGGGAUAGUAGCGGCAUCCUUUUUUUGCUUUUUAAAAGCAGAAAAAGAUAUAGCGAAUAGCCCGACCCAAA
rnacentral:sRNA from 1 species